rnacentral:tRNA from 1 species
UCUAAUAUGGCAGAUUAGUGCAAUGAACUUAAGAUUCAUUUAUAAAUAUAAAUAUUUUAUUAGAA